CCUACGGGGGUCAGCAGUGGGGGAUAUUGCACAAUGGGGGAAACCCUGAUGCAGCGACGCCGCGUGUGGGAAGACGGUCCUCUGGAUUGUAAACCACUUUCCCCAGGGACUAAGAUGACGGUACCUGGGGAGGAAGCUCCGGCUAACUACGUGCCAGCCGCCGCGGGAAUACGUAGGGAGCGAGCGUUGUCCGGAAUUACUGGGUGUAAGGGGAGCGUAGGCGGGGAUGCAAGUUGGGUGGCAAAACUACCGGCUCAACUGGUAGUCGCACUCAAAACUGCAGCUCUUGAGUGAAGUAGAGGCAGGCGGAAUUCCUAGUGUAGCGGUGAAAUGCGUAGAUAUUAGGAGGAACACCAGUGGCGAAGGCGGCCUGCUGGGCUUUUACUGACGCUGAGGCUCGAAAGUGUGGGGAGCAAACAGGAUUAGAUACCCGAGUAGUC
rnacentral:rRNA from 1 species